rnacentral:rRNA from 1 species
UUUAAGUUGUUGCAGUUAAAAAGCUCGUAGUUGGAUUUCGGGUGGGUUUUAGCGGUCCGCCUAUGGUGAGUACUGCUAUGGCCUUCCUUACUGUCGGGGACCUGCUUCUGGGCUUCACUGUCCGGGACAGGGAUUCGGCAUGGUUACUUUGAGUAAAUUAGAGUGUUCAAAGCAGGCUUACGCCGUGAAUACUUUAGCAUGGAAUAACAUAAUAGGACUCUGCCCUAUUUUGUUGGCCUGUAGGAGUGGAGUAAUGAUUAAGAGGAACAGUCGGGGGCAUUCGUAUUUCAUUGUCAGAGGUGAAAUUCUUGGAUUUAUGAAAGACGAACUACUGCGAAAGCAUUUGCCAAGGAUGUUUUCAUUAAUCAAGAACGAAAGUUGGGGGCUCGAAGACGAUUAGAUACCAUCGUAGUC